AGGAAAAAGGAUCAGAUUAUCGAGCGUGGGAGUGGCAAGGACAUGUUAUGUUGUUCAAUGAAAAGACUGGAUACUCUCCUGAGUAUACUUAUGGGCAUUACUACGAGAUGUUGGAGGGUGAGGAAGAGGAAGAGGAAGAGAAGGAAGAGGAGAUAAUGGGGAAUUGGUGGCUGAGAGAGUUGAUCUUCAUAGGAAUAUUAAUGCAGCUUCUCCAAGGUUUGAUCGUAGAACUCACUUCCUUCCCUAUUGUUUUGUUAUGACUAUGCUUUUCUUGGAGAACGUGUAUUCAGUACUUACCAGUUUUAUGCCUUUUGCUUUGGGUUUGUUUCUAUUUUACUUUUGUUCCCUCUUUCUCCCUUCUAUCUCUUAUUUACAUAUUUAUUUACUUUCGCAUCCAGUAGAAUUAUAACUGCUUUCCUAUAUUCUGAUUUGUAUGUUAAUAUUCUGUGGAAGUGAUGUAUAUGUCAAACCUCUGUGAAAUUCAGGGUACAGGCGUCAUAGAGUAGUGUGUUUCACUUCCCAUUUUGAAACUUCUUGUUGUUUUCAAAGCAAACAGAUGUUUUCAUUUUGAGGUUAGGUUAACAACUA
rnacentral:misc_RNA from 1 species